GCAUUUCCUUGCAUCUCGGAAGCGGCGGGCGGCUGUUUGAGUGGACAAGAUGUCGCUGGCUGGCGCCUUCUCUAAGAAGGAGGUCGGCAGUGGGAGCCACGAUUCAAUUCUGACCAUUGCGGUAUGCUCGAGGAGCAUAUUUACUCCCGGGACAAUCGAAGAUGAGCCAGUAGAGGCUGAAGAGGGGGCAAGCGCUUCUGACGCUAGAAAGUGUCUGAGGCCUCGCUGCAGUCACAGCAGCAGAUCCUAAUGACAAGAGAGGCGUCGGGGAAGUUUCCAGCGGAAUCGGGAGGAUAUGCUCAAUUCUCCGAGCGACAGAUUAACUGAGGCACCUGAAGCUAACGAGCUGUUUAAUGAAGUCUCCUGCUCAAAGUUAGCAGUCCUGGAUCCUCAGUGCCUUGUUUGGCUUUCAGAGUUAGGUAAAGAAAAAGCAAGCCAGAUAUACUCCAAAUCAUUUGAUCUAGCGCCAUUCCUGGAACUUCUCUCUUCUCUAAGAUCAUCCCUUUCACCUGAUGACAUUUGGAGUAAUACCAGACAGGCAUGUGUAAAAUUCUUGAAGAGAACCCUCAGCUUUGCACUGUAUCUUGAGUUUCUUCAAGACAGAAUCUCCUCUGCAUCAAACCCGAACAUCAGGAAAAAAUAAUGCAAAGCCGAGAGAGUAGGGUAAUGCCUGCACAGUUGGAAAGCAUGGAGGACGAUGAUCAAGAAGAGACAGAAAAAAUUGUAGAGAGAAUCUUAGAAAUGUUGUGAAAUUUAUUUCAAGACACUCUCAGGGUGCCUCUGUCCCUCUUUUCCUUAGUGAUUGACCCAUAUUCUUUCUCUUGCACUGUGAAAAAUAUUUUCAUAUUCCCUUUGUUAUAAGAGGUGGUUUAGUAAGAAUGAGGCUUGACCACAAUAAACUGCAAAUAAUAGAGAAUGUCAAUAUUAAUGAAGAAAGCGAGAGAAGUGACCAGAAUCUCCAAGUUCAGAAAUAAGAUGCUAUAAUUUCUGGUUUUCAGUACUGGAAGGAAUUGUGCAAAAUCUGAACAUGUCAAACGCUAUGAACUCUUCAUGUUAACAGCAAAGCCUGGGUUUUUAAUAAAAGAUGAGGAAACUCCCCCAGAAAGAGAAAUGACUUGAUAAGGACCACACUGAGUUGGUGGCAGACCCGGGAACUGGAACCCAGCUGUAUGCCUCUUGUCUGAGUGCCUCUGCACUCUAGGAGCUCAUGCCUCAUUGUAACAAACACCAUAGAGACCAAGUCAUGUUCCCUUUAUCCUGAGAAUUCCCACCUCCAUGCCUAACUCCUUCCUGGCAAACUCAACCAUUCUUUAUGGCCCAG